rnacentral:rRNA from 2 species
AUGCGAUACUUGGUGUGAAUUGCAGAAUCCCGUGAACCAUCGAGUCUUUGAACGCAAGUUGCGCCCAAAGCCACUAGGCCGAGGGCACGUCUGCCUGGGCGUCACGC